UUAACUUCGUAUAUUCACAAGUGUCUGC
rnacentral:sRNA from 1 species